ACACGACUACAUUAGAUACCCCCGUAGUCCCAGCCGUAAACUAUGCUCGCUAGGUGUCAGGGACGGUGCGACCGUUUCUGGUGCCGCAGGGAAGCCGUGAAGCGAGCCACCGUGGGAAGUACGGUCGCAAGGCUAGAAACUUAAAGGAAUUGGCGGGGGAGCACUACAACGGGUGGAGCCUGCGGUUUAAUUGGAUUCAACGCCGGAAAUCUUACCGGGACCGACAGCAACAUGAAGGCCAAGCUGAAGACUUUGCCGGAUUAGCUG
rnacentral:rRNA from 1 species